UACGUAGGGUGCUAGCGUUGUCCGGAUUUAUUGGGCGUAAAGGGUUUGUAGGUGGUUUGUCGCGUCUGUCGUGAAAUCCUGUGGCUUAACCAUGUGCUUGCGGUGGGAACGGGCAGGCUUGAGUGCGGUAGGGGAGGCUGGAAUUCCUGGUGUAGCGGUGAAAUGCGCAGAUAUCAGGAGGAACACCAGUGGCGAAGGCGGGUCUCUGGGCCGUUACUGACACUGAGGAGCGAAAGCGAGGGGAGCGAACAGG
rnacentral:rRNA from 1 species